AAUACUUAAUUAUAAUUAUUUGUUAAUUAUCUCUUUCUGCACAACUUCAGGAUUUCAGAGCUCUGAGAGGAGAGUGUCUGUGCUUACAUGUUCAUGGACACACAUACUCAGCAGUUCCACUCCAGUUUGGAUUCUACUUACUUUUGCCUGCCAGCCCCAAAGUGUCAACUAUCCUACGACAUACAGAGCCAUCACACACGUACACACAUACACAAAUAGCUUAGUGUGUAGAGUCAAAGUGCAGCUAAGGGUCGAAUCACCUAAACAGCUGUCCAUCUUAUGUCCUGCGACCACUGGAGACACAGAAACCACACCUUUUGCCUCACUUCGGGCGUACGUGCUGUGGUUCAUUUACAGUCUGAGUAUGUGCGUGUGUGUGUAUUGGAGUGGCUCACUCUGUUCACCCUUGCACUGUCUUGAAGCAGGAAGCAGGCCUGUGCAAUAGCCAUUGUGACACAGUUCAUCAGCCGUGAUUCAGAAUUAGAGGGCAUUGUUGCCAUAGCAGCAGGACUGGAACAGCUCCUAUUAGUAAGACGCAAACAAAGUGAACAGUUUUCAGCUCACUCCUGUCUAACCAGUACUUUUCCAUCUUUCUCUUUAGGUUGAUCUUCUGCUCGUCACUGCGAUGGAGUGACGGUUGUACUCAGAUCAGAUCAGAUCAGCAGCAGCAAAGGAGGAGAAGAAGGAUGAGUUGUCCCUUUAACAUCUAAAAUGGCCAAGGUCUGCUUGACAUCAGGGUCACUCAAAUGGGCAAGAGGAUACGGAGAAGAAGCACGGCAGCUGCCAAAACCGAUAAAUCCGACAAAGCAUGGAGAACACAGAGUACUGAGAACUCAUGUGCAGAGACAGUUCACUUUAAUGACUGACUCAUUCUGAUGUGCACCUGAGCGCCAUAAGGGCUUUUCAAGUGCACACUGGGCCUAAUCAAAAGGUAUAUGACAUUUCCUGAGUCUGAACGCAGUUAAAAACAAAGAAGUGUGGCAUGCGCCCGCCCCCCGGGGCCCGACGAUGAGGGCUGAGAGAGCCGGCAGGAAGACAUGGCCUGAACACUCAGCGGCGGCGAACCUCGGCGAGGACGCUGGAGAGAGAGCCGCGAGUGUGGAGGUAGGUGGAGCGCCAAGCCCGAGCAACGGCGGGGGGAGGACGACGACGCUGGCGCCGGCUACGAGAGGCACCAGAGGGAGGAGCGAGUCCCGAGCUCCGUCGCUCAGGCCCCACCCUGUGUUACACGGCAAGGCCACUACAAUCGACCCAGGCGGCCGAGCUGCCAGCUGGGGGCGGUAACGGAGAGGCGGAGCGGCGAGCUCUGGUUCCCUCUCAGCUCUGGUGCUCUUAAUGAGAGCCAGCUGUAUCUCAUCUGGCCGGCAGCGUGAGCGCUUUUAAAAAGAGAUGAGAAGGAACAGAGAGAGAGAGAGAGGAAAGAGCAGCAGGACAAGACUAUAAGAGCUGAAAUGCUCUAGGAAGAGACUGAAAAGUGGCCAGCUUAGUGUUGUUUGAGUUUACUUUGUUUAUUUUGGGUGAAAUUAAAGUAUGGCUGCUGCAACCUUAAA